rnacentral:rRNA from 1 species
CUACGGGGGGCACCAGUGGGGAAUAUUGCACAAUGGGCGAAAGCCUGAUGCAGCAACGCCGCGUGAGCGAUGAAGGCCUUCGGGUCGUAAAGCUCUGUCCUCAAGGAAGAUAAUGACGGUACUUGAGGAGGAAGCCCCGGCUAACUACGUGCCAGCAGCCGCGGUAAUACGUAGGGGGCUAGCGUUAUCCGGAAUUACUGGGCGUAAAGGGUGCGUAGGUGGUUUUUUAAGUCAGAAGUGAAAGGCUACGGCUCAACCGUAGUAAGCUUUUGAAACUAGAGAACUUGAGUGCAGGAGAGGAGAGUAGAAUUCCUAGUGUAGCGGUGAAAUGCGUAGAUAUUAGGAGGAAUACCAGUAGCGAAGGCGGCUCUCUGGACUGUAACUGACACUGAGGCACGAAAGCGUGGGGAGCAAACAGGAUUAGAUACCCUGGUAGUC